AUGUGUUUAUGGCGUGUGUUUUUAAUGCCACCCGGCCGAAGGAGAGACUUUCCGUGCAGCACCACCAGUCCAAAUAGCAACCACCGUGCCACCGAACCACCGAGUCCAUCCGAAACCACCCAAACCACCCAAGCCGCCCAGCAAAACCCAACGAAGUAUUGGCUUGCCUGCAGCAGGAAGCUUGUGCGCAGAACCAGCAUUUUAGGGUAGAUACUUUCCCAGGGAUUUGCGCACUGGAUGGCCUCUAUGUGUUUUUCGCCUGGAGAGCGUGGAACGCACAGUGGUGACUUUUAAGCGAGCGGAUACAUAAGGUCGGUUAAUGGGCCCUCUGUCUGUCUUCUGUCUUGCCGGUUUCGCUCAGUGUACGGUACAGUCGUGGCACAAAUCAAAGGGUAGGUAGGUCAAUACGAUAGCGAAGCUGAUUGAAAGUGUAACGCUAGAUGGCGCUAUGGUUAUGUUCAUCAAUUAUUCAUGUUAUUAGUUGCAUCAGCAGGAUUCGUUCUUCCCAAAAUAUUUCGAUGAUAAAAACAUUUCAGUUCAAAUCUCAAAAUUAUGAUGCAUAGAUGCCAAAAUGACAAGAAGUAGUAAACUUCUAGUUCUUCCCACUAACAGCGAUAGCACUGAUAUCUCAAAUCUGAGAAAAGUGGGUAUGAUCGCCGGUGGGUGACUUUGAGGGACAUCAAAACAACGACCGCUAUCUGCGUAAGAUUAGCCCGUAGUCGUAUUCGAUUAGGAACAUGAACCAGCGCAAAAGUGGCGCGAAAAGAGCUUCGUAACUGUAAAUGCCCCCUAGAAGCUCAGCGGCUAUGGCUAUAUCGCGCUCGCCCGCUCUCUCCUUAUCGGUGUGUUGGUUUUUUUUUCUGCUUGUGUGAGUCAGUGGGGGGACUGAAUAACAAAACUUUUGGCGCCAUUUUUAGUCUGCACUCGAGAGUGCAGCACGCAAAGCGCUAGAAAAUAACAACAAGACAGGCACGCGGAAGAAAAAACAAACUGAUUCGGCAAAUAGCAACCAAAUUACCAGUUAAAAUAGGUGAAAAUUGGCUAAAUGGGCGUCCAGAUACAGCAGGAUCAGCGAGGAUCCUGAACGGAGCUGCAUUACAAACUACAUGGCAAGCAUUAAACGCGAAUUAAUCAUGCGAUAUGCAGCGAGAAAAGCAAAAGUCCAGGCUGACUGAAAAACAGGAUUAGCCUUGCAGGACCAAGUGGAAAAGUGCAAAAGGCAGGGCAAAAGGGCUCAGGCCCAGAGAAGCCGCAGAUGGCGACAGGUGGGUGGACAGCGGGUGGCCAAUUCCCGAAGGCGAGACCCAAAGCCGAUCAGAAAUCAAGAGCCCCCAACAAGCAGGUGCGACUGAAAGUGACUUGCACUGGGGAACGCUCCGCAGACAGCAACAAACUACACUGGCCAAACCGAAACUUGAUCGAAGUAUGCACUUGCAAAAUAUUUCAUAAGAGUGCAAGAUUUCAUUUCUUGCAGUGUGUUAUUUCCAAAAAUAUUUAGUUUUUAGGUAAAUAAUAUGUCCAUAUCGCCAGGAUGGCCAUUUAUCUUACGACGCUCCAUAGAGAGCAUAUACUGGAUUUUCGACUGCAUUAGCAUGGCACUGGCCAAUGGCAUAUUACGGAUUUGCGCGGCAACGCUCAACCCGAAGUAGGUGAAUUCGUCCUCGCCUCGCAUUUCAACUCCGAGGCCAAUUCCAUUCGUCCGUCCAGCUGCCGAUGAUCCCAGGCCCAAUCCCAAGACAUCACUUUUUUCAGAAAUGGAGCAGGCUGUCGACAGAGGACAGUUCCCUGCCAUCGGAACAGGCGCUGGUGCUGGAUGUGCUGGUGAGAUGAUGUCUCCGAUCUUGGACAGGGAGGGCGGUGGAGUGGGAGGCUCCUCCAUGGGCAUAGGUGCUGGCAGAACGGUAAACAAGGAAGAGGGUGUAGGAUCCAACGGCCUUUCGGGGGCAGACAAGUCAUCGGGAUCUGGCUUAAUCUCCGUCUGAAUCUUAAUUGGCUUCAGUCUGGUAAGCCGAAUCUGUAGACGCUUUAGUUGAGGAAUUGAUGUUUCCAACUCAUUCUGUAACCAAAUAUAACAUUGUUAUUUGUGUUAUAAUUUAUACAUGAGAAUACGUUUAAA